GGCGUGAGGAGCGGGCGGGCCGGCGGCGCGGAGUUUCGGGUCCGAGGAGCUUCGCGCGGCGCGGAGAGAGACAAGAUGUCCGCCAGGGCCGCGGCCGCUAAGAGCACAGCAAUGGAGGAAACAGCUAUAUGGGAACAGCACACAGUGACGCUUCACAGGGUGAGUGUCUGCGGCAGUAAAUAAUCUGGGUUAUAAUUCAGGAUACUGGCAGCUUUGAAAACAAUAGAGGAAAGCCAGAUGUCAGGAAGCCAAAAGAAAGGGGAAUUUUUUUCUAUAUUCGUUUGUUUAAAAUUAGAUUUAUAAUAAAUUCUUCAUUAAGGUCAGAAGUGAACGUGAUUACUUUUUCACAUAUCCUUUGGUUAUUUCUUGUAUAGUUGUUAUUUUUAAUCUCUGAAAAUUAAGUGGUUCUUUUGCUUAGAAUUUUGAAUGAUCAGAUAAAAGAUUAUAUAUUAAAUUAUAAACUGAUUGUAUAUGCAUAUUUGUAUGCUUGGGGCUUAAUAAUAAGUUAUAUUCCUACUAAAAUCUUGAAAGAGGGCUUAGGACAUGGCUCAGUUGAUGGAAUGCUUGGUUGUAGCAUGCAGGAAACCCCCUUCUAGCCCCAGAAUCACAUGACACUCUCAUCUGUGAAAACCUGGCAGUCAGAGGUUCGAAAUUAUCCUUAGCUACUUAGCAGGUUGGUAUGUAUAUUGGGAAGAGGGCACAUUCUUUUUUUUUUCCCUUUUUUUCGGAGCUGGGGACCGAACCCAGGGC
rnacentral:lncRNA from 1 species